GAAGGCUGAAGUUCGCCUUCAUGAAGCUGGAAUUGCUAGUAAUGGCAGGUCAGCAUACUGCCGUGAAUACGUUCCCGGGCCUUGUACACACCGCCCGUCACACCAUGAGAGUUGGGAAUACCCGAAGCCUGUGAGCUAACUUAUAGAGGCAGCAGUCGAAGGUAGAAUCAAUGAUUGGGGUGAAGUCGUAACAAGGUAAC
rnacentral:rRNA from 1 species